rnacentral:lncRNA from 1 species
AAGAUAUGCCAGUAAAAUAUACAGGCUCGUCUACUGAGCUACAGUAGGAAGUACAUCUCCAAAAUUUACAAUACAAAUGCGGUUUAAUUUGGCUCCCUAUUACUCCUGCGCUAUGGUAGCUGUGCGCUCAGGGUUGUUCCAGUUGAUCACAAGAAGGUCCUCCGGCAUCACAUGCUCUUUCACUUGGAUGGAGAUGAAUAAAAUUCAAAAUGCCACCACCUGGGAGAUGGAGGACAAAAAGAAAAGGAAAACAAACGAAAAAUUAACAAUGUUGUUCAAUUUCAAGAGUAAGAAAGUAAACAAAGUCCACAAAAGAAACAAAUGAAACCCGCAAUUGAUCUACACCUCUAGCUAUUUAAAACUGGAAUAUACCCUAUAAUUGCAGUUCAAGAGUCUAUAGCACAAACCAUAGUAUUGUGUCUAUGAGGCCCUCUACUGCUUUUUCAUUUAAGGCCUCAGUCUGCAUCUUUUAUUUCUGCUUCAAUGUCAACAACUGAAGAAGAAUCCUUUUAUAAUAAUCACAUGAA